GACAAAGGGGGAAAGAGAGAGGAUCCAUUCUGGGCAGGAGUCAGCCAUGUUUCCCGGUAUUCUGGUUCAUUUUAGUCAUCCUCGUGUGUCUCCUGACUCCUUGAACACCAACGCCCCAGCACAAAGAUGUGUGAUGGGAAGGAAAGGGGUGUGGGUGAGCGAGAAGAAAAGACAAAGAUUCAACAGCUCAGAGGCAGAAUGCGAUGGAGGCGACGAAAACACAAGAAGCAAAGUUGGGAAGCAGAACUUAUGAGAGGGAAGCACAGGGAGUCCAGGAGUGACGUCACAUCAGACUUGAUUUUGGAGGAUUCUUCCAGCAGCACUGUCGGGCAUGACAACAAAAUAAUAGACAAGACAACCCUCAAAAGUGUGGGGACAGGGAGAGAGAGCCAGCAUCAAACUGCAGAGCAUCUACAUUAAAGGACAGAUAAGGGCAAAAAAAUCCAUUCCUGCCAAGAAGAACUGGUCGGAGAGGUGGGCGACAUUCUGAGUGGUCAACAGAGCAAAGAAGGCUGUCUUCUCAAGUGUUGGAAGCU